rnacentral:rRNA from 1 species
GACGAACGCUGGCGGCGUGCUUAACACAUGCAAGUCGAACGGAAAGGCCCUGCUUUUGUUGCGUUCUCGAUUGGCGAACGGGGGAGUAACACGUGAGUAACCUGCCCUUGACUGUGGGGUAACUUCAGGGAACUGGGGCUAAUACCGGAUAUGAGCUCCUGCUGCAUGUUGGGGGUUGGAAAGUUUCGGCGGUUGGGGAUGGACUCGCGGCGUAUCAGCUAGUUGGUGGGGUAGUGGCUUACCAAGGCUUUGACGGGUAGCCGACCUGAGAGGGGGAUCGGCCACACUGGAACUGAAACGCGGACCAGACUCCUGCGGUAGGCAGCAGUAGGCAAUGGUCCGCAAUGGGGGAGAGCCUGGCGGAGCGACGCCGCGUGUGAGAAGAAGGUCUUCGGAGCGUAAUAAUGUGUUAUGGGGUAAGAACAAAUGUGGAAGUAGCUGAACACGGCGUGACGGUACCUGAUCAGAAAGCCACGGCUAACUACGUG